CUUCCAGACUCCUACGGGAGGCAGCAGUGGGGAAUAUUGCACAAUGGGCGCAAGCCUGAUGCAGCCAUGCCGCGUGUAUGAAGAAGGCCUUCGGGUUGUAAAGUACUUUCAGCGGGGAGGAAGGGGUUAAGGUUAAUAACCUUAGCCAUUGACGUUACCCGCAGAAGAAGCACCGGCUAACUCCGUGCCAGCAGCCGCGGUAAUACGGAGGGUGCAAGCGUUAAUCGGAAUUACUGGGCGUAAAGCGCACGCAGGCGGUCUGUCAAGUCGGAUGUGAAAUCCUCGGGCUCAACCUGGGAACUGCAUUCGAAACUGGCAGGCUGGAGUCUUGUAGAGGGGGGUAGAAUUCCAGGUGUAGCGGUGAAAUGCGUAGAGAUCUGGAGGAAUACCGGUGGCGAAGGCGGCCCCCUGGACAAAGACUGACGCUCAGGUGCGAAAGCGUGGGGAGCAAACAGGAUUAGAUACCCUCGUAAA
rnacentral:rRNA from 1 species